rnacentral:rRNA from 1 species
UAAGCGACUAAGCGUACACGGUGGAUGCCCUGGCAGUCAGAGGCGAUGAAGGACGUGCUAAUCUGCGAUAAGCGUCGGUAAGGUGAUAUGAACCGUUAUAACCGGCGAUUUCCGAAUGGGGAAACCCAGUGUGUUUCGACACACUAUCAUUAACUGAAUCCAUAGGUUAAUGAGGCGAACCGGGGGAACUGAAACAUCUAAGUACCCCGAGGAAAAGAAAUCAACCGAGAUUCCCCCAGUAGCGGCGAGCGAACGGGGAGGAGCCCAGAGCCUGAAUCAGUGUGUGUGUUAGUGGAAGCGUCUGGAAAGGCGCGCGAUACAGGGUGACAGCCCCGUACACAAAAAUGCACAUGCUGUGAGCUCGAUGAGUAGGGCGGGACACGUGGUAUCCUGUCUGAAUAUGGGGGGACCAUCCUCCAAGGCUAAAUACUCCUGACUGACCGAUAGUGAACCAGUACCGUGAGGGAAAGGCGAAAAGAACCCCGGCGAGGGGAGUGAAAAAGAACCUGAAACCGUGUACGUACAGGCAGUGGGAGCACAGAGCAAUCUGUGUGACUGCGUACCUUUUGUAUAAUGGGUCAGCGACUUAUAUUCUGUAGCAAGGUUAACCGAAUAGGGGAGCCGAAGGGAAACCGAGUCUUAACUGGGCGUUAAGUUGCAGGGUAUAGACCCGAAACCCGGUGAUCUAGCCAUGGGCAGGUUGAAGGUUGGGUAACACUAACUGGAGGACCGAACCGACUAAUGUUGAAAAAUUAGCGGAUGACUUGUGGCUGGGGGUGAAAGGCCAAUCAAACCGGGAGAUAGCUGGUUCUCCCCGAAAGCUAUUUAGGUAGCGCCUCGUGAAUUCAUCUCCGGGGGUAGAGCACUGUUUCGGCAAGGGGGUCAUCCCGACUUACCAACCCGAUGCAAACUGCGAAUACCGGAGAAUGUUAUCACGGGAGACACACGGCGGGUGCUAACGUCCGUCGUGAAGAGGGAAACAACCCAGACCGCCAGCUAAGGUCCCAAAGUCAUGGUUAAGUGGGAAACGAUGUGGGAAGGCCCAGACAGCCAGGAUGUUGGCUUAGAAGCAGCCAUCAUUUAAAGAAAGCGUAAUAGCUCACUGGUCGAGUCGGCCUGCGCGGAAGAUGUAACGGGGCUAAACCAUGCACCGAAAGCUGCGGCAGCGACACUGUGUGUUGUUGGGUAGGGGAGCGUUCUGUAAGCCUGUGAAGGUGUACUGUGAGGAUGCUGGAGGUAUCAGAAGUGCGAAUGCUGACAUAAGUAACGAUAAAGCGGGUGAAAAGCCCGCUCGCCGGAAGACCAAGGGUUCCUGUCCAACGUUAAUCGGGGCAGGGUGAGUCGACCCCUAAGGCGAGGCCGAAAGGCGUAGUCGAUGGGAAACAGGUUAAUAUUCCUGUACUUGGUGUUACUGCGAAGGGGGGACGGAGAAGGCUAUGUUGGCCGGGCGACGGUUGUCCCGGUUUAAGCGUGUAGGCUGGUUUUCCAGGCAAAUCCGGAAAAUCAAGGCUGAGGCGUGAUGACGAGGCACUACGGUGCUGAAGCAACAAAUGCCCUGCUUCCAGGAAAAGCCUCUAAGCAUCAGGUAACAUCAAAUCGUACCCCAAACCGACACAGGUGGUCAGGUAGAGAAUACCAAGGCGCUUGAGAGAACUCGGGUGAAGGAACUAGGCAAAAUGGUGCCGUAACUUCGGGAGAAGGCACGCUGAUAUGUAGGUGAAGUCCCUCGCGGAUGGAGCUGAAAUCAGUCGAAGAUACCAGCUGGCUGCAACUGUUUAUUAAAAACACAGCACUGUGCAAACACGAAAGUGGACGUAUACGGUGUGACGCCUGCCCGGUGCCGGAAGGUUAAUUGAUGGGGUCAGCGCAAGCGAAGCUCUUGAUCGAAGCCCCGGUAAACGGCGGCCGUAACUAUAACGGUCCUAAGGUAGCGAAAUUCCUUGUCGGGUAAGUUCCGACCUGCACGAAUGGCGUAAUGAUGGCCAGGCUGUCUCCACCCGAGACUCAGUGAAAUUGAACUCGCUGUGAAGAUGCAGUGUACCCGCGGCAAGACGGAAAGACCCCGUGAACCUUUACUAUAGCUUGACACUGAACAUUGAGCCUUGAUGUGUAGGAUAGGUGGGAGGCUUUGAAGUGUGGACGCCAGUCUGCAUGGAGCCGACCUUGAAAUACCACCCUUUAAUGUUUGAUGUUCUAACGUGGACCCGUGAUCCGGGUUGCGGACAGUGUCUGGUGGGUAGUUUGACUGGGGCGGUCUCCUCCUAAAGAGUAACGGAGGAGCACGAAGGUUGGCUAAUCCUGGUCGGACAUCAGGAGGUUAGUGCAAUGGCAUAAGCCAGCUUGACUGCGAGCGUGACGGCGCGAGCAGGUGCGAAAGCAGGUCAUAGUGAUCCGGUGGUUCUGAAUGGAAGGGCCAUCGCUCAACGGAUAAAAGGUACUCCGGGGAUAACAGGCUGAUACCGCCCAAGAGUUCAUAUCGACGGCGGUGUUUGGCACCUCGAUGUCGGCUCAUCACAUCCUGGGGCUGAAGUAGGUCCCAAGGGUAUGGCUGUUCGCCAUUUAAAGUGGUACGCGAGCUGGGUUUAGAACGUCGUGAGACAGUUCGGUCCCUAUCUGCCGUGGGCGCUGGAGAACUGAGGGGGGCUGCUCCUAGUACGAGAGGACCGGAGUGGACGCAUCACUGGUGUUCGGGUUGUCAUGCCAAUGGCACUGCCCGGUAGCUAAAUGCGGAAGAGAUAAGUGCUGAAAGCAUCUAAGCACGAAACUUGCCCCGAGAUGAGUUCUCCCUGACCCUUUAAGGGUCCUGAAGGAACGUUGAAGACGACGACGUUGAUAGGCCGGGUGUGUAAGCGCAGCGAUGCGUUGAGCUAACCGGUACUAAUGAACCGUGAGGCUUAACCU